AGAACGGCGGCUUUACAUCGGGAUUCGUUCGAUACUUGUUGGCAUUUACCACGAGAUCUAAUAGACAAAAGAAAUUGAAGGAAAUUUAUAUACUCGAUUUUAUAUACAUGAAUAACUUUUUGCAAGAUUAUUCUAAUGAUUACCCAAAUCAGCCUUGACAAAGGGCGAUAUUUUCUUCGGGGGUUGACGGACCGGUGGAGGCGAUGGCGAACAAGGUGGCGUCGGCAAACCGGAUGCGCUGGUGAUGUCCAACGAUUGCAGCCAGGAGAGGCUCGUCAAUUCGGCCUCGACUCCGUCGUAAUCGUCUGGACUGUUACUGUCCACUGCGCCGGCGGAAGCAGUGGUUUGCAGAAUCGUCGAUGCAAUACUUUGAAUUCGUGUGAUUCAUUGGCUUAUCAAAAUAUCUCCUGACGUCACGACAAAGAUAGGAUAUCACUUGGCGCGAAAAAAAGGUUUUUCUCUUUCUUUGUUUGAUUUCACGCAUUAAUAUUAUGUAUCAAUAUGAUACACAUUUUACAAUUUACUUAAAUUUUUAAGUACAUGUCACAUUCUUUAUAGAGAAAAUGCACUUUUCAAUGACGCGUCAUCCGUCGACAUUUGUUCGUGGAAAGAGAGGCAAAACAUCGAUCACCAUCUCCCGAUACGUAGAAAGAGAGAGAGAAAAGUUUCGACAAAAAUUUAUAAAAUUUGCACCAAGAAAAAUA